rnacentral:sRNA from 2 species
UAUUUCCGGUAAGUAAGGCUACUUCAGGGAUAUGGACUGCUGCCGCGAAAUGAUGGAGACAUCAUUAGCUGGUUUGAACAGGUUAUAUCGAAUCAAGGUAUAGCAUAACGCAGUUUCACCGCCCUGUCGAGCUAAAGCUCAAACGGCA